UAUUAAGUUAAUUGUUUCAGAUAAGUCAAAUUUUACUAUGUUAUCGUCCUCUGAUUCUUCAGACAAAUCCUGAUUGCUCAUCAUUAUGUUUUUACUUGCUGCUGCUGAUCGGGUUACGUCAUUCUAGAUAAUAAGAUGUAACGUAAAUAUGGAUAAACAAAUAUUGUAAUCAAAGCUUGAUAAUAUUUUAUUACGUGAUUUUUAUCUCCAUCAACAACAUCUGGGUAUAACAGUUCCUCAUCAUCAUUGAAACUGGCGAAGUUAUUUUGAAACAUGUCUCUACUUUGUUCAUCAGCUGUAUCGUUGUUAGGCAUAUUUCCUUUGUUAGGUUCUUCUAUCACUUUCAGUUCAAAACGUUUCAAAAUAUCAACGUCGGACAACAAUUUGAUUUCGCUAUAAAAACGGGAUGGCACUCCGUUUUCUUUCCAAUCAAUUAUUAUUCUAGCCACUUUACCACGCAAAUCAUUUUUAUAAUCUCGAGUUAACGAUUCCCAAGGUUUUUUCUGUUUAUUUGUACCAGUCACUUUCAAAAUCAUUUGAACUACUUGGUCACUAAUUUGCCUUUUCAAUUUAAUCACUAUUUCUUUAUUGAAAUCCAUUUUAGGCAAAUAAUGGAGGCAACUAAACGCUCAAACCUUCUUGACAGUUCUGAUUUCGUUGUUUUUAAAUGUCGACAGUCUGACUUAUUUGAUUUGCGAUCCGCCAGAUGUCCAGUAUUAGAGAAAGUCAUAUGAUUGCAGACAAUCAUACAUUCUCUUCGAUAGAGAAUCGGUAGUAUCAAGUUAUAAUGCUUGAUGACAGUUCACAAAGGACAGACGAAGACAAUUCUGACCUGGAAUGAAUGGAUUAAGUUCACCUUGAAAUGGGGCACGACUAACAUUUGUCCAACAACCUGGGUCAAAUGUAGAUGAAUCUUCAUUUUUUAAGGUUGGAUAUCCAAAGGAUGCCUGGUAUGGGGAAUAUGAAUUCCUUGAUCAGGAUGUUUUGCAGUUUAAAGAAGUUCUUCUAUUUUAUGUGAUCAAGUCAACAAUUCAAGAUCCAAUAACAUCCGAGACAAGCCAAACAUUUCUCAAAAUUCCAAAACAAUGGUUGUCAAAGUGUAAACGUUAUUAUCUUUUUCCAAUAAUCAAUUCUUCAGAACCUGAAACAAACCCUGAAAAUUAUUGAGCAUCUGGGCUCUUUCAAACAAGUGUCUAUCCAAACAGUUCCUUUAUGGAGUGGAAACUAGCUGAAAUUUUAAAUCUAAAUGAUCCCAAAAAAUUUAGAAAGGCUUCCAAGAGAGUUAAAACAUUCCAGGCUGACCCAAAAAGUGUUUGGAUUUCAUCUGGAAGUGAAAAUUUAAGAGGAACAUCCAGACAGAGAAUCCCUAAGAAAUUUCCCGAUUACGAGCUAUCUGUCCCCGAUUUUACUCAAAGUUCACGCCGACCAGAUGAACCAACAGAAACUUCUGAAUUAGUCGUCGAAGAAGGUAAUCGACAAGCGGAAAUAUAUCAUCAGCAACAUCAUUCGUCGUCUGUGACUGUUGAGGCUGCCGUUUCCGAAAGUCCCAGUCCAAUUGUUUCAUCGUCCGUCGUUCCAGCAGGUCCAAUCCGUGCCGUUUCAAGUCACAACAGCAGCAGUUUAAACGUCAGAGGAAUCGGCAAUAAUUCUACAACUCUAUCCGUCGAGGACGGUCAUCAAGGUGAUAUGCUAACGGAAACGUCUCUAUCCGUCGAGGAGAGUCAUCAACUGUCGACUGUGAAUCAACUGUCAUCUGUCGACUAUGAAUUAAACGAUGAUUCCCGAACUAUAUCAAUUCUUCAAAGCGUGAGACCAAAACCUUAUGAUCUUGGUUUUUCCGAUGGAUAUCAAGAAGCAUUCACGAUGUUGGACGGCUUUUCUGGCAGAUCGCCAACUCUUCCACCUAAAUCUUAAAGACCAAGAUUGAGUUCUUCUGACGAGAGAUGUGCUUGUUAUGAAGAAGUCAUGAAUAUGGCCAAGAAGAUUAACGCUAUUUUCAAGUUUGUUAUUGCACAGGAGCAAAAAGAAAAUCCUGCUCCUGUGCAAAACUAUCACGACGUGAUCGUGAAAAAAUUUCUCUCCGUUGAUGAUGAUGAAACUGGAUUUAAAAUGCUUAUAUACCAACAGAUAAGCCGGAGGUUCUACCUAAUAUAAACAAACUUUUGGAGACCAAUGAUCAAUUAUCUAUCAGCUUGACUUUGAACCUAAUAGAUUCGUAUCAGUCUGCUGCUUCCGAUGUUGACGCCAUGAUAAGAGCUUCCCUUUUAGCCGUUCUCAGCGAGGCUGGAUGCAACGCGAUGCAUUGGCGAAAAACUGCAAAUCUAACUGGAUUGAAAAACAUGUCGCAUGUAUUGGCUGUGUUAAAAGUCGCAGUUGAUGCAUACUGCACAUAAAAAAAUUCAUCCAGGUGUCGUCGAGAGAUUUCCUUUUAAAAGUACAGGUGCUACGGAAAAACGUACCGCCGUAUUCCGGAAAAAACUGGUUCCCUGCCACCGAUAGUG